ACUACGGGAGGCAGCAGUGGGGAAUAUUGGGCAAUGGGCGCAAGCCUGACCCAGCAACGCCGCGUGAAGGAAGAAGGCUUUCGGGUUGUAAACUUCUUUUCUCAGGGACGAAGAAAGUGACGGUACCUGAGGAAUAAGCCACGGCUAACUACGUGCCAGCAGCCGCGGUAAUACGUGGGUGGCAAGCGUUAUCCGGAUUUAUUGGGUGUAAAGGGCGUGUAGGCGGGGGCGCAAGUUAGAUGUGAAAACUCAGGGCUCAACCCUGAGCCUGCAUUUGAAAGUGUGUUUCUUGAGUGCUGGAGAGGCAAUCGGAAUUCCGUGUGUAGCGGUGAAAUGCGUAGAUAUACGGAGGAACACCAGUGGCGAAGGCGGAUUGCUGGACAGUAACUGACGCUGAGGCGCGAAAGCGUGGGGAGCAAACAGGAUUAGAUACCCCAGUAGUC
rnacentral:rRNA from 1 species